rnacentral:misc_RNA from 1 species
GGUGUCGACACCUUUUUAAAAUAAAUUAUUAUUUAUUUUGAGAUCAUUACAUUGUUUUGUUUAUUACUUAACAACUUUAUAUACUUAGUAAAGAAAAUUAUCUUAGAUCUUAUAUUAUUUUAUGUAGAAGAACAUUUCAAUAUUUUUGAUUUUCUGUGCGGUCACUCUUUGACAAAAGAAUUAACAUACUAUUAUUAAAAUCCAAUUUUGGCCUGUGCUAUUCUUUAACUAUCCAUCAUUUUGACGUCGAACUCUAAAGAAUCGUGGCUACGCGGCCUCUUGUCGAAUCAAACGGCUUGAACAGAAAGGAGAUUUGGAGCAUGAAAAAGGAAAGGAGUAUGAAGAUUUAGAUCAUGUGCAGGAGGACAAUCAGAGGAUGCAUGA